CUAACCUGAACGACGUUGACAGAAAAUUCUGUUCAAUAUGGCUGCCCUUCUCGAGCGACUGGAGAACACAUUUGGAGAAACUUGCUGAAGGCCAAAGACAAAAAGACAGAAGAAAAAAAAAUUCAGACUGCAAUUAAUUUCAGGUGGAGACAGUAAACACAGGAGGCGCCUGAUAUCAACGUGAAACGCACUGCAGUACUUCGUGCCCUUCCUGUAUACCUGCGGGAGGAGGACCCAGAAUUCUUUUAGACAUGUAAUGCGGACGCAUUGGAUGAGUCGACCCUCAUUGACACUCCAGUUGCCCUUCUCACAGUGGUUACCGACGGCGCUUCCCAGUCCAGUCCAUUUUACUUCCUCAAGCAUGG